GCUAGGUGUGGUGACUCACAUCUGUAGUCUCAGCUACUCAGGAGGCUGAGGCAGGAGGAUCACUUGGGAUAUGUGGUCACCCUGGGCAACGUAGUCAGAUCUGUCUCAU
rnacentral:sRNA from 1 species